GAUGAACGCUGGCGGCGUGCCUAAUACAUGCAAGUCGAGCGAACGGACGAGAAGCUUGCUUCUCUGAUGUUAGCGGCGGACGGGUGAGUAACACGUGGAUAACCUACCUAUAAGACUGGGAUAACUUCGGGAAACCGGAGCUAAUACCGGAUAAUAUUUUGAACCGCAUGGUUCAAAAGUGAAAGACGGUCUUGCUGUCACUUAUAGAUGGAUCCGCGCUGCAUUAGCUAGUUGGUAAGGUAACGGCUUACCAAGGCAACGAUGCAUAGCCGACCUGAGAGGAUGAUCGGCCACACUGGAACUGAGACACGGUCCAGACUCCUACGGGAGGCAGCAGUAGGGAAUCUUCCGCAAUGGGCGAAAGCCUGACGGAGCAACGCCGCGUGAGUGAUGAAGGUCUUCGGAUCGUAAAACUCUGUUAUUAGGGAAGAACAUAUGUGUAAGUAACUGUGCACAUCUUGACGGUACCUAAUCAGAAAGCCACGGCUAACUACGUGCCAGCAGCCGCGGUAAUACGUAGGUGGCAAGCGUUAUCCGGAAUUAUUGGGCGUAAAGCGCGCGUAGGCGGUUUUUUAAGUCUGAUGUGAAAGCCCACGGCUCAACCGUGGAGGGUCAUUGGAAACUGGAAAACUUGAGUGCAGAAGAGGAAAGUGGAAUUCCAUGUGUAGCGGUGAAAUGCGCAGAGAUAUGGAGGAACACCAGUGGCGAAGGCGACUUUCUGGUCUGUAACUGACGCUGAUGUGCGAAAGCGUGGGGAUCAAACAGGAUUAGAUACCCUGGUAGUCCACGCCGUAAACGAUGAGUGCUAAGUGUUAGGGGGUUUCCGCCCCUUAGUGCUGCAGCUAACGCAUUAAGCACUCCGCCUGGGGAGUACGACCGCAAGGUUGAAACUCAAAGGAAUUGACGGGGACCCGCACAAGCGGUGGAGCAUGUGGUUUAAUUCGAAGCAACGCGAAGAACCUUACCAAAUCUUGACAUCCUUUGACAACUCUAGAGAUAGAGCCUUCCCCUUCGGGGGACAAAGUGACAGGUGGUGCAUGGUUGUCGUCAGCUCGUGUCGUGAGAUGUUGGGUUAAGUCCCGCAACGAGCGCAACCCUUAAGCUUAGUUGCCAUCAUUAAGUUGGGCACUCUAAGUUGACUGCCGGUGACAAACCGGAGGAAGGUGGGGAUGACGUCAAAUCAUCAUGCCCCUUAUGAUUUGGGCUACACACGUGCUACAAUGGACAAUACAAAGGGCAGCGAAACCGCGAGGUCAAGCAAAUCCCAUAAAGUUGUUCUCAGUUCGGAUUGUAGUCUGCAACUCGACUACAUGAAGCUGGAAUCGCUAGUAAUCGUAGAUCAGCAUGCUACGGUGAAUAAAUUCCCGGGUCU
rnacentral:rRNA from 1 species